rnacentral:rRNA from 1 species
ACGGGGGGUGCGAGCGUUGUUCGGAAUUAUUGGGCGUAAAGAGCGUGUAGGCGGCUGAAUAAGUCAGAUGUGAAAUCCCUGGGCUUAACCCAGGACGUGCAUUUGAAACUAUUCGGCUAGAGUAGGGGAGAGGAAAGUGGAAUUCCUGGUGUAGAGGUGAAAUUCGUAGAUAUUAGGAGGAACACCAGUGGCGAAGGCGACUUUCUGGACUGUAACUGACACUGAGGCACGAAAGCGUGGGGAGCAAACAG